rnacentral:lncRNA from 1 species
AACUGGCCCUCGUCAUGCUAGGAAGUGUGAGGGCAAGAGCUGGAAUACACUGAGGCAGCCUUGCUGUUGGGGGUUAUUGGCAGCUGUUGGGGGUUAGAGACAGGACUCUCAUGGAGAUGUUCAAGAAAAAGAACAACUUCAGUGGAAGAAGAAGAAGAUAGGAGCCCAGGUCCUGUGUUUCACCAAGACAGCCGUGCAAAGCAGAUGCUGCCAAAAAGGUGCAAAGUGGUUUGUCAGCUCUUCUGCAUGUUCUAACAAAUUAGACAUGCAUCCCAAAAGGUUUCCUAGACUUUCCAUCACCACCAGUGAAUUCUGAGUGACAAUAGUGUGGAAUUUGGAAGAAUGGAAGAGAAACUGAAGUGGAGAGAUGGUGAAAGAGAAGAAAAAAUGAAGAAAGAUGCUUGCAAAAAUACUGCUGUGGGUCCUGAGAUGAGGAUUCUGGGAGGGCUGAAAUGGAUGCCCCUGACAGCUCCCUUUGAGUUCCUGUUCAUCUGAAGUACACCAGCUUUCUAGAUAUGCUGUCACUUUCCUUCUGCAGAGCCACAGUGGUGUCCUGUCUUCUCAGACCUCUUCUCACCUCAAAUCACUUAGGACUCGGCCACCAGACAGAUUUGGGAUUUCAGAACUUUUCAGAUGUUAGAAAGUUCUUUUCUAAAUGUGAUGAGGAAUUACGGAAUCAUAAAAUGGAAGCAGAGUUAAACUCAGACAUGUGGGCACUCAAGGCAAUUAGGAGCUUUCUGCGAUGAGAAAGGGAUCAGACUGAUCCUUAAGACUUUAUGCAACCCCAGAGUAUUGCAGCCACCUGCAUGCCGAAGGUGUCAAGAGUGUUCUCACUGCUGCCUAUAGGAGGGUCUUCAGCCUCCAGUGAUCCAAAGUACCAGGCUGACCUGUGACUGCUUCGGCCAACUGAAUAGGGAAGAGUGAUGCUGUGCUGUUUCCAGGCCUGUUCUUUAAAAGUACUUGGAAGCUUCUGCCUUGGCCUCUUUGUGCCUGAGUUGCUGUAUAAGAAUCUGACUACCUUGCUGGAGAGACCUUGUGGAGAAGACUUGACCUUAUAUGCAGAGGUAGAGGGGCCCUGGUUAGUCCAGCCAUCUAGCCAUCCUGUCAAAAUAGCAGGAGUAUGAUGGCCAAUGGAUCCAAAACCUAUCCUAUAUCUACAUGUUGGUGGCCACAUUAAUCUGACAUCUGACAGCAAGAGCGAUGAUUGGGUUCACUGGAAAUCUUUGUGAAGUACGAGUGAAGUCCUUGUGAAGUCAGAGUUUCCUCUUCAUGCCUCUACUCCUAUGCAGUUUGACCUCUCAGUGUGCAGCUGGUGAUAGAUGGAAACCCUUGUUCAUAAGCUUUGUGGCACUGUCGGCAGGAUGAGGGGACUUCUGGAUCCUCACUGGUCACUGUGGCAGAGUGGUUGGUGUUGUCUGCUCCCUAGACAGGAACCCACUGAAGAAUCUGACAUUUUUUGAUAUGCUGGCAUUCAUUGUUACAGCCCAUCAUCCCAGCCAUCAAUCCAGGACAUGGGGUCUGUGCCCACGGUGGGAAGGAGGAGGGGGAAGCUGGCUUUGUUCUGACGUUGGGCUUCUUCUGCUCCACCAGUACUUUCUGUGGGGGAAAUAGGUAAAGAAAUGGCUGUUCAGAUGAGAAGAUGUGUCAGUAAACUUUUGCUACAGUGAUGCUGCAAAACAAAUCACUGGUGACUUUCAGUGGCACACAGCAAUAAACAUUUAUUUAGCUCAGGGAUUGACAAUCUUUUUUUUUUUUUAAAGGGCCAAAUAGUAAAUAUUUUAGGUGUUUCAGGCCAUACAGUCUCUGAACUCUGAACUUGUAGCACAACAGUAGCCUUAGAUGCUAUGCAAAUGGAGGAGCAUGACUGUGUUCCAAUAAAACUUUAUUUAUGGACACUAAAAUUGGAAUUUCA